rnacentral:rRNA from 1 species
CAUGCAAGUCGAACGAAGCACUUAUCUUUGAUUCUUCGGAUGAAGAGGUUUGUGACUGAGUGGCGGACGGGUGAGUAACGCGUGGGUAACCUGCCUCAUACAGGGGGAUAACAGUUAGAAAUGACUGCUAAUACCGCAUAAGACCACAGAGCCGCAUGGCUCAGUGGGAAAAACUCCGGUGGUAUGAGAUGGACCCGCGUCUGAUUAGGUAGUUGGUGGGGUAACGGCCUACCAAGCCAACGAUCAGUAGCCGACCUGAGAGGGUGACCGGCCACAUUGGGACUGAGACACGGCCCAAACUCCUACGGGAGGCAGCAGUGGGGAAUAUUGCACAAUGGGGGAAACCCUGAUGCAGCGACGCCGCGUGAGCGAAGAAGUAUUUCGGUAUGUAAAGCUCUAUCAGCAGGGAAGAAAAUGACGGUACCUGACUAAGAAGCACCGGCUAAAUACGUGCCAGCAGCCGCGGUAAUACGUAUGGUGCAAGCGUUAUCCGGAUUUACUGGGUGUAAAGGGAGCGUAGACGGCUGUGUAAGUCUGAAGUGAAAGCCCGGGGCUCAACCCCGGGACUGCUUUGGAAACUAUGCAGCUAGAGUGUCGGAGAGGUAAGUGGAAUUCCCAGUGUAGCGGUGAAAUGCGUAGAUAUUGGGAGGAACACCAGUGGCGAAGGCGGCUUACUGGACGAUGACUGACGUUGAGGCUCGAAAGCGUGGGGAGCAAACAGGAUUAGAUACCCUGGUAGUCCACGCCGUAAACGAUGACUACUAGGUGUCGGGGAGCAAAGCUCUUCGGUGCCGCAGCAAACGCAAUAAGUAGUCCACCUGGGGAGUACGUUCGCAAGAAUGAAACUCAAAGGAAUUGACGGGGACCCGCACAAGCGGUGGAGCAUGUGGUUUAAUU